UACGGGGGGGGCAAGCGUUGUUCGGAAUUACUGGGCGUAAAGGGCUCGUAGGCGGCCAACUAAGUCGGAUGUGAAAUCCCCAGGCUUAACCUGGGAACUGCAUCCGAUACUGGAUGGCUUGAAUCCGGGAGAGGGAUGCGGAAUUCCAGGUGUAGCGGUGAAAUGCGUAGAUAUCUGGAGGAACACCGGUGGCGAAGGCGGCAUCCUGGACCGGCAUUGACGCUGAUGCGCGAAAGCUAGGGGAGCAAACGGG
rnacentral:rRNA from 1 species